CAACGUAGGCACCAAGCGUUGUCCGGAUUUAUUGGGCGUAAAGAGCUCGUAGGCGGUUCAGUAAGUCAGGUGUGAAAUCUUUGGGCUUAACCCAAAGCGUGCACUUGAUACUGCUGUGGACUUGAGUUCGGUAGGGGAGUGGGGAAUUCCUGGUGUAGGCGGUGAAAUGCGCAGAUAUCAGGAGGAACACCGGUGGCGAAGGCGGGUCUCUGGGCCGAUACUGACGUGAGGAGCGAAAAGCGUGGGG
rnacentral:rRNA from 1 species